rfam:Bacillus sporothermodurans strain B4102 NODE_308, whole genome shotgun sequence.
GUAGUUCAGCUGGUUAGAAUGCCUGCCUGUCACGCAGGAGGUCGCGGGUUCGAGUCCCGUC